rnacentral:rRNA from 1 species
CUACGGGCCGCACCAGUGAGGAAUAUUGCACAAUGGGGGGAACCCUGAUGCAGCAACGCCGCGUGGAGGAUGACGCAUUUCGGUGUGUAAACUCCUUUUAUAUGUCAAGAAAAUGACGGUAGCAUAUGAAUAAGCACCGGCUAACUCCGUGCCAGCAGCCGCGGUAAUACGGAGGGUGCAAGCGUUACUCGGAAUCACUGGGCGUAAAGGACGCGUAGGCGGGUUGGAAAGUCAGGUGUGAAAUCCUACAGCUUAACUGUAGAACUGCACUUGAAACUUCUAAGCUAGAGUAUGGGAGGGGGAGAUGGAAUUAGUGGUGUAGGGGUAAAAUCCGUAGAUAUCACUGGGAAUACCUAAGGCGAAGGCGAUCUCCUGGAACAUUACUGACGCUAAGGCGUGAAAGUGUGGGGAGCAAACAGGAUUAGAUACCCUUGUAGUC